rnacentral:rRNA from 1 species
GAUGAACGCUGGCGGCGUGCUUAACACAUGCAAGUCGAACGAAGCACUUUAUUUUAUUUCCUUCGGGACUGAUUAUUUUGUGACUGAGUGGCGGACGGGUGAGUAACGCGUGGGUAACCUGCCUUGUACAGGGGGAUAACAGUUGGAAACGGCUGCUAAUACCGCAUAAGCGCACAGCAUCGCAUGAUGCAGUGUGAAAAACUCCGGUGGUAUAAGAUGGACCCGCGUUGGAUUAGCUAGUUGGUGAGGUAACGGCCCACCAAGGCGACGAUCCAUAGCCGGGCUGAGAGGGUGACCGGACACAUUGGGACGGAGACACGGCCCAAACUCCUACGGGAGGCAGCAGUGGGGAAUAUUGCACAAUGGGCGAAAGCCUGAUGCAGCGACGCCGCGUGAGCGAAGAAGUAUUUCGGUAUGUAAAGCUCUAUCAGCAGGGAAGAUAAUGACGGUACCUGACGAAGAAGCACCGGCUAAAUACGUG